rnacentral:rRNA from 1 species
CCAGACUCCUACGGGAGGCAGCAGUGGGGAAUAUUGGACAAUGGGGGAAACCCUGAUGCAGCGACGCCGCGUGGGUGAAGAAGCGCCUCGGCGCGUAAAGCCCUGUCAGCAGGGAAGAAAAUGACGGUACCUGAAGAAGAAGCCCCGGCUAACUACGUGCCAGCAGCCGCGGUAAUACGUAGGGGGCAAGCGUUAUCCGGAUUUACUGGGUGUAAAGGGAGCGUAGACGGUCCUGCAAGCCAGAUGUGAAAGCCCGGGGCUCAACCCCGGGACUGCAUUUGGAACUGUAAGGCUAGAGUGUCGGAGAGGCGGGCGGAAUUCCUAGUGUAGCGGUGAAAUGCGUAGAUAUUAGGAGGAACACCAGUGGCGAAGGCGGAUUGCUGGACAGUAACUGACGCUGAGGCGCGAAAGCGUGGGGAGCAAACAGGAUUAGAUACCCCAGUA